rnacentral:rRNA from 1 species
UACAGAGGGUGCGAGCGUUAAUCGGAAUUACUGGGCGUAAAGCGCGCGUAGGCGGCUUUGCAAGUCGGGUGUGAAAUCCCCAGGCUUAACCUGGGAACUGCAUUCGAGACUGCAUUGCUAGAGUAUGGGAGAGGGAAGUGGAAUUUCCGGUGUAGCGGUGAAAUGCGCAGAUAUCAGGAGGAACACCGGUGGCGAAGGCGGGUCUGCUGGGCCGAUACUGACGCUGGAGGAGCGAAAGCGUGGGGAGCGAACAGG